AGAAUAGUCACAGAAUUCUUGUCUUAUUAAGACUAUAUAAGUAACGUAUAUUUUAGGUCAAACGCUCAAAGCAAGUUCAGUCUCUGGUUUGUAUUGGUAGCAUACAUUAUAACAAUGAAUUUCCGUGUUUUAAUACUUCUAACUUUGUGCAGCCUUGUGAAAUGCCAGGGUGGGCAAUCUUGUGAUGAAAUAAAAGAUUUUGUUGAUGGACAUAACGAUCGAAGACUGCAGCUCGCUAAAGGCGAAGUGCCAAAGCAACCAGCGGCUGCACUUAUGAACUCAGUGAUUUGGGAUGAGGCAUUGGCUGCCAAAGCGCAGAAUUGGGCUUCUGAGCAUGAAUCCGGUCAUAAUCCAAACAGAACUGACGGAUUAAAUAGAUUUUUUAUCGGCGAGAAUAUUUACACAUUUUCUACAAAAGACAAGACCUACAAACUAGACCCUAAAACUGCAUUGGAUUACUGGUUCAAUGAAAACAAGAACUACACAUAUGGACCUCUGCGACGAAAGGACUUUCGAUCUAAAAUGAUUGGAGAAUACACACAGAUGGUGUGGUCUGAUUCAGUAUACCUUGGAUGUGGUAUUUCUAGCGUCACGAAAGAUGGACUUCUACGUUAUUAUGUUGUAUGCUAUUAUGGGCCGGUGGGCAACUACAUAGGAGAGACUCCUUAUGAAAAGGGGUCUCCCAGCAAUAAACUAACCUGCGCAGUCGGCAACUGUGCCAAGCCGUACGGAGGUUCAUGCUAAUCUAAUAAUCAAUUUGGUUUAAACUUAGUAUCCCGUAGCAUAAAUUAUGAGGUAAAUGGACUUUAGUACACUAUUAUAAUGCUACCACUCUUAUUACAAGGUAUUGCACGGUUCCAGAGAAAAAGCAUUAUAACCUAAACUCAAUUUAUGACAUUUUUUAAGUGUUGGGACAAUUUUAUGGGGAGGAAUAAAAAGGAAACGCUUUCAAUUCGUUUCUAACACUCGCCGGCCGUUGCCGCGGCACGCUACGCUCUGCUCGUGCGUGGUUUUAACUGUUCUAAGAGAACCUAACGUAAGGAUUUUUUAUAAAUUGUAGUUCAUAGAGCUUUGGUCCAAUAUAGUGCUACUACUCUUAGUACAAGGUAAUGCGGGAUUCUAAGUACACCCCAUCUAUUUAUUAUAAUCUAAUAUUUCAUACGAAACUGAUAAUUAAUUUCACACAGCACACUUGUAUUCGAAUAAAGCAUUGUUAUGAACUAA